rnacentral:rRNA from 1 species
AUUGAACGCUGGCGGCAUGCCUUACACAUGCAAGUCGAACGGCAGCGGACCUUCGGGUGCCGGCGAGUGGCGAACGGGUGAGUAAUAUAUCGGAACGUACCUUUCAGUGGGGGAUAACGUAGCGAAAGUUACGCUAAUACCGCAUAUUCUGUGAGCAGGAAAGCAGGGGAUCGCAAGACCUUGCGCUGAUUGAGCGGCCGAUAUCAGAUUAGCUAGUUGGUGAGGUAAAGGCUCACCAAGGCGACGAUCUGUAGCGGGUCUGAGAGGAUGAUCCGCCACACUGGAACUGAGACACGGCCCAGACUCCUACGGGAGGCAGCAGUGGGGAAUUUUGGACAAUGGGGGCAACCCUGAUCCAGCCAUUCCGCGUGAGUGAAGAAGG